rnacentral:rRNA from 1 species
AUGCAUCCCAGCUCGUUGCUACUGAUCCUAACAAUCUUACCAAUCUUGUCCACGUUGCAUCCACCGGCAGCCGCCGCCAAUGGCACGGCCCAAGACGCAGGCUGCCCGCCGGUGACAUGCGGGAACCUCACCUUGGCGUACCCGUUCUGGCUGGCCGGCCAGGACAGGUUCUCCUGCGGCCCGCCGGCGUUCCAGCUCACCUGCAACGACUCGGCGGCCGGCGCUUUCGUGGGCACCUCCUACAUGAAGGUCCUUGACAUCGACUACGGCAACCGCUCCCUUGUCGUCGUCCACGUCCUCGUGGCCGCCGAUGUCGCGUGCAACAUCUUGUUCAACGUGUCCUCGGCCUUCGCCAUCACCGACAGGUUCAGCAUCAGCCGCAGGAACAGGGAGCUCUACGUGCUGUACAGCUGCAAGGAGAGGCGUCCGCCGCCUGGUGCUGCCCCGGUGACCAACUGCAGCCCCAACACCAGAGGCAUGUACGUGUACCUCGGGGGAAACUACGGCAUGGGCCAGCCCCCGGCGAAUGAAGGGAGCUGCGAGACCGCCAUAUUUCCGGUGCUCGGGGCGGAGCCGGCAGGCAUGACGGCGGCCAAUUAUAGACAGCUCAUAAAGGGCGGGUUCCUACUGGAGUGGGAGCCCGUCGGCGAUUGCAAUGCCUGCAAGGCGAGCGGUGGGCGGUGCCGCUACGAUGCCAACACAUCAGCGUUCACGUGCCUUUGCUCAGACGGUAGCAUGCACCAGUCGACUUGUGAUACUAAACACAACAGGAGGUUCACUUUGAUAGUUUCGCUGUCUGCUGCGUCUAUCUUGGUUUUCGCCUGUCUUGCAUGUCUGAUGUACCGGCAGAGGAAAAAUAUCAGAUCAGCAAUCUUCAGAAUUUACUCUAGCAAUACAUCAAAUAUCGACGAAAUGCUAAGAAAAUGCGAAUCUCUUGCCCUGAAGAGGUACAAGUACUCACAGCUGAAGAAAAUAACAAGAUCAUUCAAGGAUGAGCUGGGAGAAGGUGGAUAUGGUGUGGUACACAAGGGAAGCCUGCAAGAUGGUAGAAUGGUUGCAGUGAAGCUACUGAAAGGAUCAAAAGGCAAUGGAGAAGAUUUUCUGAAUGAAGUUAUGAGCAUCGGCCGGACUUCUCAUGUUAAUAUUGUCAGUCUGCUCGGUUUUUGUUUAGAUGGAUCUCACCGAGCACUUAUAUACGAGUACAUGUCCAAUGGUUCUUUGCAGAAGCACAUUUAUUCAGAGAGUUCCAAACAAGCCAUCGGAUGGGGGGUGUUCCUAAAGAUUGCGAUCGGUAUCGCACGAGGGUUGGAGUAUCUACACCAGGGUUGCAACACCUGCAUCAUCCAUUUCGAUAUCAAGCCUAACAACAUCCUCCUAGAUGAUGAGUUAUGUCCCAAAAUUGCAGACUUUGGUAUGGCAAAGCUAUGCCACCUCAAGGAGAGCGUCCUUUCAAUGGCCGAAGCGAGAGGGACGGUUGGUUUCAUCGCACCAGAAGUGUUCUCUAGAGGCUUUGGACUCGUCUCCACAAAGUCUGAUGUUUACAGCUAUGGGAUGAUGCUCCUAGAAAUGGUCCAAGGGAAGAAGGAUGAGAAAGGAAAGGCAGACAGCUCUAGUGAAACAUUUUUUCCACAUUGGGUUUGGGAUAAUUUGGCGAGUGAGUUGCAUGGAUCCAAAGCCAAAUAUAGAACUGAAGAAAUCGUAAGAAGGAUGACCUUGGUUGGAUUGUGGUGCAUACAGAUGAACCCUGAAAGCCGCCCAUCCAUGAGCAGGGUUAUAGAGAUGUUGGAGAGGAGCAUGGGUGAACUGGAGAUGCCGCCGCGGCCGUUCCUCUUCUCUCCGGUGCACUCGACAACAGCUUCAUCCUAUGCAUCUGUCCAAGUCAUGAUGUCUUCACCAUGA